rnacentral:pre_miRNA from 1 species
UUUUGUUCUAUAUUCUUAGUACUCGGGUUGAUAAAGACCUUUCCUGGAGCCGCCUUUGUCAUCGGGGGUAUUAUGAAAUAUAGCUCAAAA